UACGAAGGGGGCUAGCGUUGUUCGGAUUUACUGGGCGUAAAGCGCACGUAGGCGGAUCGUUAAGUGAGGGGUGAAAUCCCAGGGCUCAACCCUGGAACUGCCCUUCAUACUGGCGAUCUCGAGUCCGGAAGAGGUGAGUGGAACUCCUAGUGUAGAGGUGGAAUUCGUAGAUAUUAGGAAGAACACCAGUGGCGAAGGCGGCUCACUGGUCCGGUACUGACGCUGAGGUGCGAAAGCGUGGGGAGCAAACAGG
rnacentral:rRNA from 1 species